AGCAGCCGCGGUAAUUCCAGCUCCAAUAGCGUAUAUUAAAGUUGUUGCAGUUAAAAAGCUCGCAGUUGAAUUUCGGGAUCAAAUUGUCGGUCGUGCCUCGGCACGCACUGGUAUUAUUGGUUCCUACCUUCUGAAGAGCCGCGAUGUCAUUAAUUUGGUGUCGUGGGGAAUCAGGACUGUUACUUUGAAAAAAUUAGAGUGUUUAAAGCAGGCUUACGCUUGAAUACAUUAGCAUGGAAUAAUGAAAUAGGACGUUUGAUUCUAUUUUGUUGGUUUCUAGGAUUGACGUAAUGAUUAAUAGGGAUAGUUGGGGGCAUUAGUAUUCAAUUGUCAGAGGUGAAAUUCUUGGAUUUUAUUGAAGACUAACUACUGCGAAAGCAUUUGCCAAGGAUGUUUUCAUUAAUCAAGAACGAAAGUUAGGGGAUCGAAGACGAUCAGAUACCGUCGUAGUCUUAACCAUAAACUAUG
rnacentral:rRNA from 1 species